CAAAGAAGUGUGAUGAUGAACAACAAAUGGACUUUGUGAUGUAGCACGAGCAGAACCCUGGAAGCUGCUGGCACACACUGGCAGACGUGGAACUUUGUAGUAAAGUGAUUCGUUUCCUUGUCCUAGCUGCUUAGUAUGGCUCAAGCAAAAUAUGUCGGCAUCAGUCAAAAAGUGAGAAGAAUGGAAUACGAACAAAAAGGCAACAGUGAUUGAUUGUUGGCCGACGAGUCAAAAUGAAUGCUCCAGCGUGGCUCCUCUAACAAAAUUAGUGACGAGGCCAAACAGGAAGCAGUGAUGGACAGGAGACCGAAGCGCACCCCUCCAAGCCACCCCGCCUGCUCCUACUCCCUGAGAAAUUAAUGAGACUUACCCACAGUGAGAUCAUCCAGCUCGGGGAGCACGGGCAGAGUCCAGCCAAUAGAGGUGAGGAGUGCCGUCACCUGACCCAUGUUGGCGAGGGGCUCCACUCGCACCACCUGAGCAGCAAACAGAGUAACAAACCAUCCUUGGGACUAUAAUACCUUCGUCUUCCCACCUGCUUUUCAGUGUCAACCUCCAGGAUGUCCAUCAUGUUUAUGGCGAUGUUCCUGUGCGUCUUCUUGUACUUGCCCACUCGCAGCGACACAGUGAGCCAGCCCGGCCGGCCCGUGCACAUGAACCCCUUGCCACCCUCUUUCUGCCAUUCACGCACCUGAAAUCAAGUCAGGAUACAAAAUAGGGGUGUGACAAAAUAUCUAAGUGGUGAUAUAUCGUGAUACUUUGUAUCCCAAAAGGUUAUUGAUAUGCUCCUGCCAAGAAUCGAGAUGUCGUUUUAAAAAGGUGUCAAUGUCUAAAAAAAAAUAAAAUAAAAAGGAACAAACAAGUUGCUACCAAAAUCUUGUACCAUAAUACCCAGAUAGCAGACCGACAUUGAACAAACGUUGAUUUUCCAUCAAAAUCAUCAGUAAGGUUGACAUCAAAAUUUUCGACGUCAAGUGACGUUGAAACGUUCUAUAGUAGGUCAGGCGAUGGUUGGGUUAACAUUGUUUUAUAGUUGAUGAACUACUGUUGGCAAAUAGUUGAUUUAUGAUUGGCCGGGAAAUAUGAUUGAAAAGUCAUUUAAUUAUGGAUGAGCGGGCAUUUUGCUCGAAAACAUAGCAUUGACUCAUCAGCGUGGUUCCAAUAUUAUUAAUAAUCGAAAUGACGCUUAGGUUUUGUAAGGAUUUUAACGUUGAAACAACAUCAAUUGAGGGUGCAAAAGUGACAUUGAUUCAACGAUAUAAGAUCAACAGCGGAAUGUUGAUCCAAAAUCUUUUCAACGUCGGUCUGCUAUCUGGGUAGUGUCUGUUAACUCUAAGGCUACAUUAAUGGUGCUCAACGCCCAAUCAAUUUAGACUGGGAACGUUCGUUCAUUCGAAACCAGAACAUUUACAGUCAUUCUACCCGAUUUCAGGGCAUUUACAGGUCACUUGCUGUUGACUUUGAGUCACUGCCUAUUCAUAUGAGUCAUUCCCAGGUCACUUCCUGUUAUGUAACUCAAAAUAAACAGGAAGUGACCCAUAAAAUACCCCCAAAUCAACAGGUAAAUGACCUUAAAUGGCCCAAAAUUACCUCAUUCCUCUGGUUUGAUUUUGCAGUUUUAACUUUGUCUACACACUGAUUGCUUAAAUCGCACUUCAUGUUGUUCUGUCUGAACCGGAAAUCCGAAACAG